CGGUGUUUAACUGGCGUGAUGUGGGACGUCCUACCGGUGGGCUUAGCCUCGCGAGGGGCGGCCCAACUAAUAUCCCGUCGCGGUGCUCUUUACUGAGUGUCGAGUCGGGCCGGUACGUUUACUUUGAACAAAUUAGAGUGCUUAAAGCAGGCUAUCCUCGCCUGAAUACUGCGUGCAUGGAAUAAUGGAAUAGGACCUCGGUUCUAUUUUGUUGGUUUUCGGAACCCCGAGGUAAUGAUUAAUAGGGACAGAUGGGGGCAUUCGUAUUGCGACGUUAGAGGUGAAAUUCUUGGAUCGUCGCAAGACGGACAGAAGCGAAAGCAUUUGCCAAAAAUGUUUUCAUUAAUCAAGAACGAAAGUUAGAGGUUCGAAGGCGAUCAGAUACCGCCCUAGUUCUAACCAUAAACGAUGCCAGCUAGCGAUCCGCCGAAGUUCCUCCGAUGACUCGGCGGGCAGCUUCCGGGAAACCAAAGCUUUUGGGUUCCGGGGGAAGUAUGGUUGCAAAGCUGAAACUUAAAGGAAUUGACGGAAGGGCACCACCAGGAGUGGAGCCUGCGGCUUAAUUUGACUCAACACGGGAAACCUCACCAGGCCCAGACACCGGAAGGAUUGACAGAUUGAUAGCUCUUUCUUGAUUCGGGAGGUGGUGGUGCAUGGCCGUUCUUAGUUGGUGGAGCGAUUUGUCUGGUUAAUUCCGAUAACGAACGAGACUCUAGCCUGCUAAAUAGGCGUACCUUAUGGUAUCGCGAAGGCCCCCGGCUUCGGCCGGUGGGUUUUUACUACCAACGUACAAACAAAUCUUCUUAGAGGGACAGGCGG
rnacentral:rRNA from 1 species